UACGUAGGGGGCAAGCGUUAUCCGGAUUUACUGGGUGUAAAGGGAGCGUAGACGGUGAUGCAAGUCAGAAGUGAAAGCCCGGGGCUCAACUCCGGGACUGCUUUUGAAACUGUGUGACUGGAGUGCAGGAGAGGUAAGCGGAAUUCCUGGUGUAGCGGUGAAAUGCUUAGAUAUCAUGAAGAACUCCGAUCGCGAAGGCAAGUGUCCGGGGUGCAACUGACGCUGAGGCUCGAAAGUGCGGGUAUCAAACAGG
rnacentral:rRNA from 1 species